GCUGGGUGUGGUGGCGCACACCUGUAAUCCCAGCUACUUGGGAGGCUGAAGCAGGAGAAUUGCUUGAACCUGGGAGGCAGAAGUUGCAGUGAGCUGAGAUCAUGCCACUGCACUCCAGCCUGGGUGACAGAGCAAGACUCUGUCUCAA
rfam:Homo sapiens chromosome 15, GRCh38 reference primary assembly.